rnacentral:lncRNA from 1 species
GGAAAUGGAAACAAGCCAUGGAUGUGGAAAUGGAGGCGUUAAACAAGAAUAGGACCUGGAAACUUGUCACCCUACCAAUUGGGAAAAAACCAGUAGGAUGCAAGUGGGUAUAUACAAUUAAAUACAGGGCUGAUGGGACCAUUGAACGUUACAAGGCAAGAUUAGUGGCCAAAGGCUUCACUCAAACCUAUGGAGUUGAUUACUUGGAGACAUUUGCCCCGGUUGCUAAGAUGAACACGGUCAGAGUAAUAUUGUCAUUAGCAGCAAAUCAUGAUUGGGACCUGCAGCAGUUUGAUGUGAAGAAUGCAUUUUUACAUGGAGACCUCUUGUCACCUUACCCAUUGGAAAAAAACCAGUAGGAUGCAAGUGGUAUAUACAGUUAAAUACAAGGCUGAUGGGACCAUUGAACAUUACAAGGCAAGAUUAGUGGCCAAAGGCUUCACUCAAACCUAUGGAGUUGAUUACUUGGAGAAUUUUCCCCGGUUGCUAAGAUGAACACGGUCAGAGUAAUAUUGUCAUUAGCAGCAAAUCAUGAUUGGGACCUACAGCAGUUUGAUGUGAAGAAUGCAUUUUUACAUGGAGACCUUGAAGAAGAAAUAUACAUGGAGUUGCCCCCUGGUUA